rnacentral:miRNA from 1 species
ACCUGGCCCUCAGGCAUACAGAAC